rnacentral:rRNA from 1 species
AGUGAACGCUGGCGGUAGGCCUAACACAUGCAAGUCGAACGGCAGCACAGUAAGAGCUUGCUCUUACGGGUGGCGAGUGGCGGACGGGUGAGGAAUACAUCGGAAUCUACUUUUUCGUGGGGGAUAACGUAGGGAAACUUACGCUAAUACCGCAUACGACCUACGGGUGAAAGCAGGGGAUCUUCGGACCUUGCGCGAUUGAAUGAGCCGAUGUCGGAUUAGCUAGUUGGCGGGGUAAAGGCCCACCAAGGCGACGAUCCGUAGCUGGUCUGAGAGGAUGAUCAGCCACACUGGAACUGAGACAGGGUCCAGACUCCUACGGGAGGCAGCAGUGGGGAAUAUUGGGCAAUGGGCGCAAGCCUGAUCCAGCCAUACCGCGUGGGUGAAGAAGGCCUUCGGGUUGUAAAGCCCUUUUGUUGGGAAAGAAAAGCAGCAGGUUAAUACCCCGCUGUUCUGACGGUACCCAAAGAAUAAGCACCGGCUAACUUCGUG